GGGGGCAUAGCUCAGUUGGUAGAGCGCCAGCUUUGCAAGCUGGAAGUCACGGGUUCGAAUCCCGUUGCCUCCACCA
rnacentral:tRNA from 1 species